AGAAGGGUUCUUUGAAAGAGAAGAUGAGUUUGAAGAGAAAGUGAGAAAGCCCUUGAGUGAUAAGAGAAAAAUAGAGAUUCAAAGAAGAAGAGAUGAACAAAUGAUAGAGAUAGAAAAGAAAGAAAGAGUUGAAAGAAAACAAUAUCUUACUACCUUAGAAGAAAAGCUUAUAAUUCUUAAUGAAAAGCAAGAAAAAGUUUAAGAGGAUUUAAGGAAGAUUUAGAGAAGAAGAAAGGAAGACAAUAGAAGGAAGAAAGAAUAGAGAGAGAAAGAGGAGCAAGUAAGAAAAGAGAAAGAGGAACGAGUAAGAAGAAAGAAAAAUGAGUAAGUAAGAAGAGAGAAAAAGGAGGAGCAUAGAAGAAGAAAGUAUGAAGAGAAAAAGAUAAAAGAAAGGAAUGAGAAGGAAAAAAAAAAAAAAGAAGAGAUUUAGAGAAGAGAAGAAAAUGAAGAUUUAUUAAAGCCCCCUACCACUCCCACAAUUAUGGUUGAGACUAAGAUGAUGAAGGGAGUUUUUCAAUCCUUGAACUUGUCUCAAUACAUCCAACAAUCUUUCAUAGCUCCAACUUUUACGUUUGAAAAAAUUUCAACUUCUUUUUCACCUCCCACUAUUUUCAACUCCUCAAAUUUUUCCAAAUCAAACUUUGAGUUUAUGUUACAUUCUAGGAUACAAUUAACUCAAAGUAAACAUAAAUG
rnacentral:lncRNA from 1 species